rnacentral:rRNA from 1 species
UGGGGAAUCUUAGACAAUGGGGGAAACCCUGAUCUAGCCAUGCCGCGUGAGUGAUGAAGGCCCUAGGGUCGUAAAGCUCUUUCGCCAGGGAUGAUAAUGACAGUACCUGGUAAAGAAACCCCGGCUAACUCCGUGCCAGCAGCCGCGGUAAUACGGAGGGGGUUAGCGUUGUUCGGAAUUACUGGGCGUAAAGCGCGCGUAGGCGGACUAUUAAGUCAGAGGUGAAAUCCCGGGGCUCAACCCCGGAACUGCCUUUGAUACUGGUAGUCUUGAGUUCGAGAGAGGUGAGUGGAAUUCCGAGUGUAGAGGUGAAAUUCGCAGAUAUUCGGAGGAAUACCAGUGGCGUAGGCGCCUAACUGGACAGGUAUUGACGCUCAGAUACGAAAGCGUGGGGAGCAAACAGGAUUAGAUACCCCCGUAGUCC